GUUGGAGUAGUUCAGUUGGUUAGAGCGUGUGGUUGUCAACCACAAGGUCAAAGGUUCAAGUCUUUCCUCUAGCG
rnacentral:tRNA from 1 species